ACCUGGCUGGCUCCAUCGGUGGAGCAUGUGACUCUUGGUCUCAGGGUUGUGGGUUCAAGCCCCACACCGGGCG
rnacentral:tRNA from 1 species